rnacentral:rRNA from 1 species
GACGAACGCUGGCGGCGUGCCUAAUACAUGCAAGUUGAGCGAUGAAGCUUGGAGCUUGCACCAAUUUGAAGAGCAGCGAACGGGUGAGUAACGCGUGGGGAAUCUGCCUUUGAGCGGGGGACAACAUUUGGAAACGAAUGCUAAUACCGCAUAACAACUUUAACCAUAAGUUUUAAGUUUGAAAGAUGCCAUUGCAUCACUCAAAGAUGAUCCCGCGUUGUAUUAGCUAGUUGGUGAGGUAAAGGCUCACCAAGGCGAUGGUACAUAGCCGACCUGAGAGGGGGAGCGGCCACAUUGGGACUGAGACACGGCCCAAACUCCUACGGGAGGCAGCAGUAGGGAAUCUUCGGCAAUGGACGAAAGUCUGACCGAGCAACGCCGCGGGAGUGAAGAAGGGUGUCGGAUCGUAAAACUCUGUUGGUAGAGAAGAACGUUGGUGGGAGUGGAAAGCGCAUCAAGUGACGGUAACUACCCAGAAAGGGACGGCUAACUACGUG